AUAACAAAUAAGUGGCGCAGUAUCCUAGUCAGCGCAUACGAUUCCCAGGACGGGCCUAAAAAUCCGUAGAAGGGCAUAUCGAUGAAGUCUCUGGUGUUUGCUUCUUACGCCCAGUUUGGGGUGGAUGCUGGAGGUUAAGGCUUGCGGGCGCGCUUCAAUGGCAUGAAGUACCGACCCUCUCGCCGUGGAGACCUGUAUGCGUGGGACACCUAUAGCAUCGCUUUGAUUGAUGGAUGUUCUACGGUGCAGGAUGAAACCUGUAUUGCGGUGCGGCGUGACUGUGCGUGUUCUCCCGCCCGCCCCCUUUUGGGGGCGGGAAAAUGGGCGGCGCACACAAGCAAAACGCUGUGUGCAGUGUAGCCUGCCUUGCGUGGCCAUGGUGGAUAGCGUAUCCGCCCGCGGUUUCCCGGCCAGGAACGCCGCGGGAAUUGACGGUUGAAACCAUGUCUGCAAAAGAGGCUAAGAAUCGUGUUGCCUGCAGUGGAAAUCACCUAGGCUGUUCGCAAAGAGGCAGAUCGAGGAUUGCAGUGCGGACUCAGUGGCAAUUCGGUCCCGGUGAUGGCAACAUCCCGGCACGGACUUUAAUGGGAAACCCCCACGACGGCGACGCGUGGCAGUCCGCGGGGAAAGCCAACCGAACCUCAAGCCGCAAGAUUUACUCGAUCUGCCGCCACUUUUAUCAA
rnacentral:sRNA from 1 species